UGGAAACUUUGUGUCAGGCUGUUACUUGCAGCACAUAAAUGCCCUGUGCUAUUGUCCUGGGGACAUUCCUACACUGGACAGCUCAUUGCAAGGCUAUAUCUCUGUUUCAAGUAUCAGAUCCUCUUCAAUGGCAUCAGCCACAUCCCAUAGGGAGGUCAUUUCAGUGCACGUGGGGCAGGCCGGAGUGCAGAUUGGCAAUGCAUGCUGGGAGUUGUACUGCCUGGAACAUGGGAUCCUGCCAGAUGGGCGACUGCUCACUGACAUAAUCAGUGAUGAGGAUGAAUCUUUCAGCACCUUCUUCAAUGAGACCAGCGGGGGGAAAUAUGUUCCGCAUGCCGUGUUUGUAGAUCUGGAGCCAACUGUCAUAGAUGAGGUCCGCAAAGGAGCCUAUCGGAAGCUUUUCCACCCUGAACAGCUCAUUUCAGGCAAGGAAGACGCUGCCAAUAAUUAUGCCCGUGGCCAUUACACCAUCGGCAAAGAGAUUAUUGACUCAGUGCUGGAAAGAAUACGCAAGAUGGCAGAUCAGUGCAAUGCACUUCAGGGCUUCCUUAUCUUCCACAGCUUUGGAGGAGGCACUGGUUCGGGUUUCUCUUCCCUACUAAUGGAACGUCUCUCUGUUGAAUACGGCAGAAAGUCAAAGCUGGAAUUCUCCAUUUACCCAGCUCCUAAAAUGUCCACAGCUGUGGUGGAACCCUAUAACUCUGUCCUCACCACCCAUACAACCCUGGAGCACUCUGACUGUGCUUUCCUUGUGGACAAUGAAGCCAUUUAUGACAUUUGUCAAAGGAACCUUGACAUUGAAUGUCCAACUCACACAAACCUGAACCGCCUGAUUGCCCAGAUUGUGUCCUCUAUCACGGCUUCCCUCAGAUUUGAUGGAGCUCUGAAUGUGGACCUGGCAGAAUUCCAAACCAACUUGGUUCCAUUCCCUCGUAUCCAUUUCCCUGUGGUCUCCUAUGCUCCAGUUAUCUCUGCUGAGAGAGCUUACCAUGAGAAGCUUUCCAUAGCUGAGAUAACAAAUGCUUGCUUUGAGCCAACCAAUCAGAUGGUGAAAUGUAACCCACGAAAUGGUAAAUAUAUGGCUUGUUGUAUGCUCUACCGUGGUGAUGUGGUUCCCAAAGAUGUCAAUGUUGCCAUUGCAAGCAUCAAGUCCAGGCGCACCAUCCAGUUUGUGGACUGGUGUCCAACUGGUUUCAAGGUUGGUAUCAAUUACCAGCCACCAACUGUGGUUCCAGGAGGAGACCAAGCCCAGAUGCAGCGUGCUGUGUGCAUGUUAAGUAACACCACUGCUAUUGCUGAAGCCUGGGCUCACCUGGAUCACAAGUUUGAUCUCAUGUAUGCCAAGCGUGCCUUUGUGCACUGGUAUGUAGGGGAGGGAAUGGAGGAAGGGGAGUUCUCCGAGGCCCGUGAGGAUAUGGCUGCCCUGGAGAAGGAUUAUGAUGAGAUCGCUUGUGACUACGUGGAGGAAGAGGAUGGGGAAGAAGUCUAAUUCACUAAGUCAGAAUAAUAUUACUCAUAUUAUUAUUAAUUGUUGGUUAGAGCAAUAAAGCAAUAUGGCAUUUAGAAUUUUAGACCAUUUAGACCAUGGACAGCCUCCUUAUUAAGCACCACGCUGAUGUCUGAUUAACUCUGUUGACUGUUUCCUAAUAAAGAGUUAUUGUUUGA